rnacentral:miRNA from 1 species
UCUCAUUCACCACAAGAAGCUCAGCUUAGGCUAAAACCAGCUUAGGGGCCAUUCUAAGCUGAGCUUCUUGUGGAGAAUAAAC